rnacentral:rRNA from 1 species
GACAGCAGCCGCCGCGGAAUACGGAGGGUGCAAGCGUUAAUCGGAAUUACUGGGCGUAAAGCGCACGCAGGCGGUCUGACAAGUCAGAUGUGAAAUCCCCGGGCUUAACCUGGGAACUGCAUUUGAAACUGUCAGGCUGGAGUCUUGUAGAGGGGGGUGGAAUUCCAGGUGUAGCGGUGAAAUGCGUAGAGAUCUGGAGGAAUACCGGUGGCGAAGGCGGCCCCCUGGACAAAGACUGACGCUCAGGUGCGAAAGCGUGGGGAGCAAACAGGAUUAGAUACCCCUGUAGUCCCUGUCUCUUAUACA